rnacentral:rRNA from 1 species
CCUUACACAUGCAAGUCGAACGGCAGCACGGAGCUUGCUCUGGUGGCGAGUGGCGAACGGGUGAGUAAUAUAUCGGAACGUACCCUGGAGUGGGGGAUAACGUAGCGAAAGUUACGCUAAUACCGCAUACGAUCUACGGAUGAAAGUGGGGGAUCGCAAGACCUCAUGCUCGUGGAGCGGCCGAUAUCUGAUUAGCUAGUUGGUAGGGUAAAAGCCUACCAAGGCAUCGAUCAGUAGCUGGUCUGAGAGGACGACCAGCCACACUGGAACUGAGACACGGUCCAGACUCCUACGGGAGGCAGCAGUGGGGAAUUUUGGACAAUGGGCGAAAGCCUGAUCCAGCAAUGCCGCGUGAGUGAAGAAGGCCUUCGGGUUGUAAAGCUCUUUUGUCAGGGAAGAAACGGUGAGAGCUAAUAUCUCUUGCUAAUGACGGUACCUGAAGAAUAAGCACCGGCUAACUACGUGCCAGCAGCCGCGGUAAUACGUAGGGUGCAAGCGUUA